AUAGAUACCCGGGUAGUCCACGCCCUAAACGAUGCGAACUGGAUGUUGGGUGCAAUUUGGCACUCAGUAUCGAAGCUAACGCGUUAAGUUCGCCGCCUGGGGAGUACGGUCGCAAGACUGAAACUCAAAGGAAUUGACGGGGGCCCGCACAAGCGGUGGAGUAUGUGGUUUAAUUCGAUGCAACGCGAAGAACCUUACCUGGCCUUGACAUGCACGGAACUUUCCAGAGAUGGAUUGGUGCCUUCGGGAACCGUGACACAGGUGCUGCAUGGCUGUCGUCAGCUCGUGUCGUGAGAUGUUGGGUUAAGUCCCGCAACGAGCGCAACCCUUGUCCUUAGUUGCCAGCACGUAAUGGUGGGAACUCUAAGGAGACCGCCGGCGACAAGCCGGAGGAAGGUGGGGAUGACGUCGAAGUCAUCAUGGCCCUUACGGCCAGGGCUACACACGUACUACAAUGGUGGGGACAGAGGGCUGCGAUACCGCGAGGUGGAGCCAAUCCCAGAAACCCCAUCCCAGUCCGGAUUGGAGUCUGCAACG
rnacentral:rRNA from 1 species